rnacentral:lncRNA from 1 species
GGCCUCACAAUGGCAGCGCGCGGGUGCAUAUGUCCCCAAUUAGGGCUGGGCGCCGCCAUUGUCCCUUCUUCGCCCCCUCCUCGCGUUGGGGUCUCUGAGCUGAGCUUUCCCCACGCAGCCUGCUCCGGCUAUCGACGAUGGUCGCGGAGCGGCAAGCAGAGACUGCAGCGUGGUGACCUUAUACGGACUGGCCCGGCGGGCGCAAGUGCCAGGGCGCCACAGCGGUGCUGAGCUCAGCUCCUUUCCUCCUGCUGCAUGCUGGGCUGCUACCGGCAUCCACUGCCUCGCGUUCGGCCACGGUGGGUGUAAGCUACCUGCCCUACACUGAGCGUGGAGACCACUCUCCUGCUUUAUGUUAGCGACUUCGCUCCUCGGCGGCGGGACAUUCAUCUUGCGUGGCAGGCGCUCCCGAGGGGCAGGACGGGUGCGGCCUCCCCCUUAUCGCUGAACAGCAGCCGGCGAAGCUCGCCGUAGGGGGUGGGGGGCGAGGGUUCCCUACCAGCCACACCGCUAGUCCGGGCUCCUUCCCAGAGGGGAACGGCUGAGGCGCAGCCGGAGGCGUCAGGCCAAUUAGCAUUUUGAUUGCUGGACUGAGGUGGGGGGUUCAUCUGGAACAAGGUCUAAUUACCAGACGGACCCUCAGGGCUCAGGCAGGCUCGAUUCCCACCCCCUCUCCGUUUGCUCCCUUCUCCUGGACAUUGUCCCCUCUUCUAACCCUAUACUCCCACUUCUAGGUCCCCUCACAGGCCCAGUCAUUCUGUCUAGCUCUGUCCCAUACUUUGCCCCUCGGGUCCCUUCUUUCUUAGUAGUGGUCCUUUGCCCAGCCAGUCUUUCCUGGGUCUGUUCUGAGUCCCAUUCCUCUGCUGCUCUGUCCUCGGCCCUCUUUUCUCCACCUCUUCUUACAAUCUCUGUCCUUAUGUUGUGUAUACAUCCCUUCCUCCUUUUUGUCCAUCUCCCAUCUCCUUUGGCCCCUAACCCUCCUUGAUGGAAGAGACCAUGUGCGGACACAUAUGAGCUUGGGUCUCAGGGCCAGGCAGUAUCAAAUGAACCAUUCAAACGGGCCUUGCUCUGGCUGUGAUGGAUCUCUCAGGACUCCUCCCCCCACGGAGGGUAGAGGGGCACACAGCUAGGAGGGGCAGCUGGGUCCAGGCCAUGGCCAUCAGUCCCCACCAGCCCAGGUACAUGAUGCACAUGGGGCCUGUGCAAUUACUCGGGCUUUCCACAUGGGCUCCUUGUGAACCUGACUCCCUGUCCCCACGUCCCCUUUCACAUCUAAAGGUUUCCCAGACCCUUGGCCAAGCCAGAGAGAUUGAGAAACUGUUGAACACUCAUUUUGACAAGUUGUAGGCACCUUUACCCAAGGCCCCAUUGAGUCUCUGAGAGUCUCAACGACUCUUCUGAGAAUCAAAGUCAGCCCCCAGCGAGUGGAUAACUACAGGCCCUAUUAGGCUGCCUUUCUAGCAACUCCCACAUCUCCUGCUAUUCUGGCCCAAUUUGCUCUGCCCUUAUCCCUUUCCUAUGAAUGUGUAGUCUAUACAGGAUUGCUCUAUGAAUGUCUUAGUCUGCUUUUGUUGUUUCCACGCUGCCUAGGUCCCAUCUUACAGAAAGGUUUAGGGGUUGGUGUUGCCACUGAUGUGUUCAGGCCCUGUGGUCUGUCACUUCUCCAUACACCUAGGGAAACAGCGGACAGCCUUACUGGAGGCUCCACCAACUUCUGCUGGGCUGAGAGGUGAUUGGCAAAGAAUGUAAAAUUGGCUUGCAAUUGCUGGUGGGGACAGCUUCUGUGGUGACUGGGGUGGAUGAGGUCAUUAUCGAGAAGGGGUCAAGGAUGUGGUAGGGAAAUGGAGGUGAAUCCUUGAGAGUACUUAAUUCAGCCACAGUGGUAGUGGCAGCCGGGCUAUGCAGCUCAUGACAGGUCUGAGGUAGGAAUCCUGGGAGAGAGUGAAACGGGGCUCUGCUAAUUCCGUAAGGGGCAUCUGUCGUGAGCCUUUUUGGAGGCUGCCGAGUUAGGGGGUAGCACAAAGGGAAGCUAUGUGUCCUGACUGGAGACGAGUUGAAGGUCCAGGGAAGGUCUACUUCCAAAGGCCUAAAGGGCAAACAGACUUGCUCCUCACUGAGGCGGAACCAUUGGAAGCCAUGUUAGCUACUGCACCACUGUAACGGGUGGCAAGGAGAAGAAAUGUUUAUUUUUAGGUCACGGUUUUCGAGGUCCCAACACCCGUUUCCUCUUUUGUUUCUGGGCCCUUCUCAGGAAGAGCAUCAUGAUAGAAAAACCUAGCAGAACACAGUUACUCACUAACAGCAACCAGGAAGCAGAGAGGGAUGCAGGAGAGUGCUGGACAAGGUAUUUAUUUCCAGAUCACAACCUCAGUAUUCGCUUUCCUCCGGCUAGGCCUACCUACCAGUUUCUGCCACUGUCUGGAAAAUGCUAUAAUCUGGUUUCACUGAUGGAUUAGUGAGGCCUGGUAACCAAUCAGUUUCUAAAUGUCCCACCUCUGAACUUGGCUGCAUCGGGAACCAGGCCUUUAACAUGCAACCCUUUUGGAGGAAUACUUUAUAUUUAAACAAUGACAAAAGCCAAGGUUACAGGGGGAAGCCAUGAGUCUGAAUCAUAGCACAACCACAACUGUAUCCAUGAAAAAAUAAGAAAAGCACAAGACCCCGAGUUCAAGCCCCAGGGGCCCACAGAAAAAAGCCAGACACAGUGGCAUGGACUGUAAUCCCAGCACUGGGAGAAUAAGAGCCAGGCAGAUCCCUAAAGCUCACUGGCCAGUCCACCUAGCCUGCUUGGUGAGUUCUUGGCCAAUGAGAAACCUUGUCUCAAAAAAUAAAAAAAUGAAAAUAAAUAAAUAAAUAAAUAAAAUUU